UUUUAAUUAUAAUUUUUUUUUUUUUAUCAAAUCCCACAAAGAUUGUGAGUUGUAUCCUAACAAAUCUCCAAAUUCAUUCAAAAUCUAACUAUCAUACAUAUAGGUGCCUUCAAUAAUCAAAUCUUUAUGGUAGAGCUUAAAUAAUUCGAAUAUGCAAAUUUUAACUUAUAUUGAGUGUAACUUCUUUCUUCAAAUUAAUUUUCACAUCAACUUGCUUGAUUUUGUAUCAAAACUCAACUUUAAUUUUGAAUUUCCACAUCAACUUGCUUGAUUUUGUAUCA
rnacentral:misc_RNA from 1 species